rfam:Xenopus tropicalis clone ISB-32O23, complete sequence.
CGGGCGCUGCGCCUGCCCCCAGAUCUCCAUCGGAAUGCAGAAAACAUCUUAGAAAAAAAGUAGUUUGAAUUCCUGAAUGAUUUUUCCUGUAGAAAGGGGCUUAGGAUAAUGAUUUCAGCUUUAUUGAGGGCAGAUUAGUAGCAGUCUCGAUGCUGCCUCUCAAUACGCGCUGUACAUGCCUUUACAAUGUGC